GACGAACGCUGGCGGCGUGCUUAACACAUGCAAGUCGAACGGAAAGGCCCUGCUUUUGUGGUGUGCUCGAGUGGCGAACGGGUGCGUAACACGUGAGUAACCUGCCCUUGACUUUGGGAUAACUUCAGGAAACUGGGGCUAAUACCGGAUAGGAGAUCAUGUUGCGUGGUGGGGGUUGGAAAGUUUCGGCGGUUGGGGAUGGAUUCGCGGCUUAUCAGCUUGUUGGUGGGGUAGUGGCUUACCAAGGCUUUGACGGGUAGCCGGCCUGUGAGGGUGACCGGCCACAGUGGGACUGCGAGACGGACCAGUCUCCUACGGGAGGCAACAGUGGGAAAUAUUGCACAAUGGGCGGAAGCCUGAGGAAGCAACGCCGCGGGCGGGAUGACGGCUUUCUGGGUGAAAACCGCUGUCGCCUGUGACGAAGCGUUAGUGACGGUAAUGAGUAAAGAAGCACCGGCUAACUACGUG
rnacentral:rRNA from 1 species